rnacentral:rRNA from 1 species
AGAGUUUGAUCCUGGCUCAGGAUGAACGCUGGCGGCGUGCCUAAUACAUGCAAGUCGAGCGAACAGAUAAGGAGCUUGCUCCUUUGACGUUAGCGGCGGACGGGUGAGUAACACGUGGGUAACCUACCUAUAAGACUGGGAUAACUUCGGGAAACCGGAGCUAAUACCGGAUAACAUUUGGAACCGCAUGGUUCUAAAGUGAAAGAUGGUUUUGCUAUCACUUAUAGAUGGACCCGCGCCGUAUUAGCUAGUUGGUAAGGUAACGGCUUACCAAGGCGACGAUACGUAGCCGACCUGAGAGGGUGAUCGGCCACACUGGAACUGAGACACGGUCCAGACUCCUACGGGAGGCAGCAGUAGGGAAUCUUCCGCAAUGGGCGAAAGCCUGACGGAGCAACGCCGCGUGAGUGAUGAAGGGUUUCGGCUCGUAAAACUCUGUUAUUAGGGAAGAACAAAUGUGUAAGUAACUGUGCACGUCUUGACGGUACCUAAUCAGAAAGCCACGGCUAACUACGUGCCAGCAGCCGCGGUAAUACGUAGGUGGCAAGCGUUAUCCGGAAUUAUUGGGCGUAAAGCGCGCGUAGGCGGUUUCUUAAGUCUGAUGUGAAAGCCCACGGCUCAACCGUGGAGGGUCAUUGGAAACUGGGAAACUUGAGUGCAGAAGAGGAAAGUGGAAUUCCAUGUGUAGCGGUGAAAUGCGCAGAGAUAUGGAGGAACACCAGUGGCGAAGGCGACUUUCUGGUCUGUAACUGACGCUGAUGUGCGAAAGCGUGGGGAUCAAACAGGAUUAGAUACCCUGGUAGUCCACGCCGUAAACGAUGAGUGCUAAGUGUUAGGGGGUUUCCGCCCCUUAGUGCUGCAGCUAACGCAUUAAGCACUCCGCCUGGGGAGUACGACCGCAAG